rnacentral:rRNA from 1 species
UACGUAGGGUGCGAGCGUUAUUCGGAAUUACUGGGCGUAAAGCGUGCGCAGGCGGUUCGUCGUGUCUGAUGUGAAAUCCCCGGGCUCAACCUGGGAAUGGCAUUGGAAACUGGCGGACUAGAGUGUGGCAGAGGGGGGUGGAAUUCCGCGUGUAGCAGUGAAAUGCGUAGAGAUGCGGAGGAACACCGAUGGCGAAGGCAGCCCGCUGGGCUAACACUGACGCUCAGGCACGAAAGCGUGGGGAGCAAACAGG